rnacentral:rRNA from 1 species
AGCUUGCUUAGAGAAAUUCUUAGUGGCGGACGGGUGAGUAACGCGUGGGUAACCUACCCAUAAAGCCGGGACAACCCUUGGAAACGAGGGCUAAUACCGGAUAAUCUUAAGAGCUGGCAUCAGCUUUUAAGGAAAGGUGGCCUCUGUAUAUGCUACCGAUUAUGGAUGGACCCGCGUCUGAUUAGCUAGUUGGUGGGGUAAAGGCCUACCAAGGCGACGAUCAGUAGCCGGCCUGAGAGGGUGAACGGCCACACUGGGACUGAGACACGGCCCAGACUCCUACGGGAGGCAGCAGUGGGGAAUCUUCCGCAAUGGACGAAAGUCUGACGGAGCAACGCCGCGUGUAUGAUGAAGGUCUUCGGAUUGUAAAGUACUGUCUUUGGGGAAGAACGACUGAUUUGAAAAGAUUGAGUCAGUAUGACGGUACCCAAGGAGGAAGCCCCGGCUAACUACGUGCCAGCAGCCGCGGUAAUACGUAGGGGGCAAGCGUUGUCCGGAAUUAUUGGGCGUAAAGGGCGCGUAGGCGGAUUUUUAAGUCCGGUGUGAAAGAUCAGGGCUCAACCCUGAGAGUGCAUCGGAAACUGGGGAUCUUGAGGACAGGAGAGGAAAGUGGAAUUCCUAGUGUAGCGGUGAAAUGCGUAGAUAUUAGGAGGAACACCAGUGGCGAAGGCGACUUUCUGGACU